rnacentral:rRNA from 1 species
GAUGAACGCUGGCGGCGUGCCUAAUACAUGCAAGUCGAGCGAACAGACGAGGAGCUUGCUCCUCUGACGUUAGCGGCGGACGGGUGAGUAACACGUGGAUAACCUACCUAUAAGACUGGGAUAACUUCGGGAAACCGGAGCUAAUACCGGAUAAUAUAUUGAACCGCAUGGUUCAAUAGUGAAAGACGGUUUUGCUGUCACUUAUAGAUGGAUCCGCGCCGCAUUAGCUAGUUGGUAAGGUAACGGCUUACCAAGGCAACGAUGCGUAGCCGACCUGAGAGGGUGAUCGGCCACACUGGAACUGAGACACGGUCCAGACUCCUACGGGAGGCAGCAGCAGGGAAUCUUCCGCAAUGGGCGAAAGCCUGACGGAGCAACGCCGCGUGAAUGAUGAAGGUCUUCGGAUCGUAAAACUCUGUUAUUAGGGAAGAACAAAUGUGUAAGUAACUAUGCACGUCUUGACGGUACCUAAUCAGAAAGCCACGGCUAACUACGUG